rnacentral:rRNA from 1 species
UACGGGGGGAGCAAGCGUUGUUCGGAUUUACUGGGCGUAAAGGGCGCGUAGGCGGUCAGCACAAGUCAGUUGUGAAAUCUCCGGGCUUAACCCGGAAAGGUCAACUGAUACUGUGCGACUAGAGUGCGGAAGGGGCAACUGGAAUUCUCGGUGUAGCGGUGAAAUGCGUAGAUAUCGAGAGGAACACCUGCGGCGAAGGCGGGUUGCUGGGCCGACACUGACGCUGAGGGGCGAAAGCAUGGGGAGCGAACAGG